UACGAAGGGUGCAAACGUUGCUCGGAAUCAUUGGGCGUAAAGCGCACGUAGGCGGCUUCAAAAGUCGGAUGUGAAAUCCCUCGGCUCAACCGAGGACGUGCAUCCGAAACUGCGGAGCUUGAGUAUGGAAGAGGGUCGCGGAAUUCCCGGUGUAGAGGUGAAAUUCGUAGAUAUCAGGAGGAACACCGGUGGCGAAGGCGGGUCUCUGGGCCGAUACUGACGCUGAGGAGCGAAAGCGUGGGGAGCGAACAGG
rnacentral:rRNA from 1 species